rnacentral:lncRNA from 1 species
GCUUAUGGGUUAACCCUAAUUUUUUGUUCUGCAGAUUUGCGAUGAUGUGCCAAACACACCUAUCCGAUUUACAUACAUUUGGAUUCACGAUCCAGUGUGUGAUUUGCAUGUGUAGCAUUAUUUUGGUUGCUUGUGUGGCAUAAUUUUGACUUGCAUGUGUGGCAUUGUUUUGAAUUGCCUGUGUGGUAAUGUAUAUUUCUGAGCUCACUCGGUAUGAAAUAACACCCAGUCAUUUGAUUCAACCUAUUAUUUUAUUGUAUUAGUUUUGUUUGUUUCUGUUCAGUUUAAUUAAUUGUGUUAGUUACUUCAGUUCAUUUUUUAUUCUUCUGUUUGUUUCGUUAAAUCUGUUGAUUCAAAUAUAUUCUAUCUAGACUUUGGAUAUCAUAUUUUUGUCAGUCUUUAAGCUUGAGGCUUUGUUAAGUAUGUUGCUUCAGUUGAUUUCGUAUUUAGUUAUACAUCUUUGUAUUAUCUAUAUCCAUACUGGGCAAUUGACUCAUGCUGUAUUUUUCUUCCGACAGAUUUAUAGGGGUGAUUCAGGGCUAGAGUGAUGAGAGAGUUUCCUUUGACCAUCUAUGUUGAUUUGAUUUUAAAUUUUGAUUAUUUUGACUCUGUUUGGAGAAUUGUAUUUAGUACUUUAUUAAUGGAUCACUACUAUUAAUAUUUUGAAGUUAUCAGUGCUCUGUUUACUUAAUUUGAGGUUUGUUUGUGCUCUGCACGUGACAUCCCCUUUCUUUUUCGUGAGGGAGGUGUUAUACUUGGCCCAACAAUAUAUAUGUAUAUAUAUAUAUAUAUACGGUCCG